rnacentral:rRNA from 1 species
UACAGGGGGUGCAAACGUUGCUCGGAAUCAUUGGGCGUAAAGCGCACGUAGGCGGUCUGUUAUGUCGGAUGUGAAAGCCCUUGGCUCAACUGAGGAAGUGCAUCCGAAACUGGCAGGCUAGAGUACUAAAGAGGAUCGCGGAAUUCCCGGUGUAGAGGUGAAAUUCGUGGAUAUCCGGAGGAACACCAGGGGCGAAGGCGGCCGACUGGCCGAGUGCUGACGCUGAGGCGCGACGGCGUGGGGAGCAAACCGG